rnacentral:rRNA from 1 species
CCUACGGGUGGCAGCAGUGGGGAAUCUUCCACAAUGGGGGAAACCCUGAUGCAGCGACGCCGCGUGAGUGAUGAAGUUUUUCGGUACGUAAAGCUCUAUCAUCAGGGAAGAUAGUGACUGUACCUGACUAAUAAGCUCUCGGUAAUUACGUACCAGCAGCCGCGGUAAUACGAAUGGCGCAAGCGUGAUGCGGAUUUACUGGGUGAAAAGGGAGCGCAGACGGCAGGGCAAGUCUGAUGUGAAAGUCCGGGGCUCAACCCCGUGAGUGCAUUGGAAACUGGGCGGCUAGAGUGCAGGAGAGGAGAGUGGAAUUCCAAGUGUAGCGGUGAAAUGCGUAGAUAUAAGGAGGAACACCAGUGGCGAAAGCGGCUUACUGGACUGUAACUGACGUUGAGGCUCGAAAGCGUGGGGAGCAAACAGGAUUAGAUACCCCUGUAGUC